rnacentral:rRNA from 1 species
UACGAUUAAGUAGUGAAGGGCGCACGGCGGAUGCCUAGGUACCAAGAGCCGAUGAAGGACGGAACAAACACCGAUAUGCUUCGGGGAGCUGUAAGUAAGCGAUGAACCGGAGAUUUCCGAAUGGGGAAACCCAAUACCGCGAGGUAUUACCACAGCGUGAAUACAUAGCGCUGUUGGAGGACACCUGGAGAACUGAAACAUCUUAGUAUCCAGAGGAAGAGAAAGAAACAUCGAUUCCCUAAGUAGCGGCGAGCGAACGGGGAAGAGCCCAAACCAGCUUCGGCUGGGGUUGUAGGACAUUCACAACGGAUCUAAAGACUUAGACGAAUGGUCUGGGAAGGCCAACCGCAGGGGGUAAGAGUCCCGUAGUUAAAAGGUUGAUAGAUUUAGAAUGUAUCCUGAGUACGGCGGAACACGAGGAAUUCCGCCGGAAUCCGGGAGGACCAUCUCCCAAGGCUAAAUACUCCUUGGUAACCGAUAGUGAACCAGUACCGUGAGGGAAAGGUGAAAAGCACCCCGGGAGGGGAGUGAAAUAGAACCUGAAACCGUGCGCUUACAAGUAGUCAGAGCCCGUUAAAGGGUGAUGGCGUGCCUUUUGUAGAAUGAACCGGCGAGUUACGAAUAUAUGCAAGGUUAAGCAGAGAAUGUGGAGCCGCAGCGAAAGCGAGUCUGAACAGGGCGAAUGAGUAUAUGUUUGUAGACGCGAAACCAGGUGAUCUACCCAUGACCAGGCUGAAGUUCAGGUAACACUGAAUGGAGGGCCGAACCGACUUACGUUGAAAAGUGACCGGAUGAGUUGUGGGUAGGGGUGAAAUUCCAAUCGAACCUGGAGAUAGCUCGUUCUCUCCGAAAUAUAUUUAGGUAUAGCCUCAUAUUAGCAUCGUGGAGGUAGAGCACUGUUUGGAUGAGGGGCCCAUCCCGGGUUACCGAGUUCAGACAAACUCCGAAUGCCACAGAUGUGAUGUAUGGGAGUCAGACAGUGGGUGAUAAGGUCCAUUGUCGAGAGGGAAACAGCCCAGACCACCAGUUAAGGUCCCCAAAUAUAUGUUAAGUGGAAAAGGAUGUGGCGUUGCACAGACAACUAGGAUGUUGGCUUAGAAGCAGCCAUCAUUUAAAGAGUGCGUAAUAGCUCACUAGUCAAGUGACGCUGCGCCGAAAAUGUACCGGGGCUAAACAUAUUACCGAAACUGUGGAUUAAAAUUUAUUUUAAUGGUAGGAGAGCGUUCUAAGUGCGGCGAAGCAUGACCGUAAGGACAUGUGGAGCGCUUAGAAGUGAGAAUGCCGGUGUGAGUAGCGAAAGACGGGUGAGAAUCCCGUCCACCGAACGACUAAGGUUUCCAGAGGUAGGCUCGUCCGCUCUGGGUUAGUCGGGACCUAAGCCGAGGCGAAAAGCGUAGGCGAUGGACAACAGGUAGAAAUUCCUGUACCAGUUAGAUUGCAUUUGAGUGAUGGAGUGACGCAGUAGGAAAAGAUGAGCGCGCGGAAGGAAGAGCGCGUCCAAGGCACAAGGCUGCAUGCCAGGCAAAUCCGGCAUGCGUGACGGCUGAGUGUUGACGGGGAGCCGAAAAUAGUAGGCGAAGCAUACGGACUCACACUGCCAAGAAAAGCUUCUAGCAAGUAAUCAGACUGCCCGUACCGUAAACCGACACAGGUAGUUGGGAAGAGAAUUCUAAGGUGAGCGAGCGAACUCUCGUUAAGGAACUCGGCAAAAUGACCCCGUAACUUCGGGAGAAGGGGUGCUUAUAGAAAUAUAAGCCGCAGUGAAUAGGCCCAAGCGACUGUUUACCAAAAACACAGGUCUCUGCCAAACCGAAAGGUGACGUAUAGGGGCUGACGCCUGCCCGGUGCUGGAAGGUUAAGAGGAGUGCUUAGCGCAAGCGAAGGUACGAAUUGAAGCCCCAGUAAACGGCGGCCGUAACUAUAACGGUCCUAAGGUAGCGAAAUUCCUUGUCAGGUAAGUUCUGACCCGCACGAAAGGCGUAACGAUUUGGGCACUGUCUCAACGAGAGGCUCGGUGAAAUCAUAGUACCUGUGAAGAUGCAGGUUACCCGCGACAGGACGGAAAGACCCCGUGGAGCUUUACUGUAGUUUGAUAUUGAAUCUUGACUCCACCUGUACAGGAUAGGUGGGAGCCUUAGAAGCAUGGACGUCAGUCUAUGUGGAGGCACUGGUGGGAUACCACCCUGGUGUGGUUGAGAUUCUAACCCGCAGCCGUGAUCCGGCUGGGAGACAGUGUCAGAUGGACAGUUUGACUGGGGCGGUCGCCUCCUAAAGAGUAACGGAGGCGCUCAAAGGUACCCUCAGAAUGGUUGGAAAUCAUUCACAGAGUGUAAAGGCAUAAGGGUGCUUGACUGCGAGACCUACAAGUCGAGCAGGGUCGAAAGACGGACUUAGUGAUCCGGUGGUUCCGCAUGGAAGGGCCAUCGCUCAACGGAUAAAAGCUACCCCGGGGAUAACAGGCUUAUCUCCCCCAAGAGUUCACAUCGACGGGGAGGUUUGGCACCUCGAUGUCGGCUCAUCGCAUCCUGGGGCUGUAGUCGGUCCCAAGGGUUGGGCUGUUCGCCCAUUAAAGCGGUACGCGAGCUGGGUUCAGAACGUCGUGAGACAGUUCGGUCCCUAUCCGUCGUGGGCGUAGGAAAUUUGAGAGGCGCUGUCCUUAGUACGAGAGGACCGGGAUGGACAUACCACUGGUGUACCAGUUGUCGUGCCAACGGCAUAGCUGGGUAGCUACGUAUGGACGGGAUAAAUGCUGAAAGCAUCUAAGCAUGAAGCCCCCCUCAAGAUGAGAUUUCCCCAAUAGAUGCCUCAGAGACUAUGAGGUUGAUAGGUUUGGCGUGUAAGUGUGGCAACACAUUCAGCGGACAAAUACUAAUCCAUCGAUGACUUAUUCA